CUCAGGACGAACGCUGGCGGCGUGCCUAACACAUGCAAGUCGAGCGAGGAGAUCCUUCGGGAUGAUCCUAGCGGCGGACGGGUGAGUAACACGUGGGCAACCUGCCUCAUAGAGAGGAAUAGCCUUCCGAAAGGGAGAUUAAUACCUCAUAACAUUGCAGUUUCGCAUGGAACAGCAAUUAAAGGAGCAAUCCACUAUGAGAUGGGCCCGCGGCGCAUUAGCUAGUUGGUGAGGUAACGGCUCACCAAGGCGACGAUGCGUAGCCGACCUGAGAGGGUGAUCGGCCACAUUGGGACUGAGACACGGCCCAGACUCCUACGGGAGGCAGCAGUGGGGAAUAUUGCACAAUGGGGGAAACCCUGAUGCCAGCAACGCCGCGUGAGUGAUGACGGCCUUCGGGUUGUAAAGCUCUGUCUUCAGGGACGAUAAUGACGGUACCUGAGGAGGAAGCCACGGCUAACUACGUGCCAGCCGCCGC
rnacentral:rRNA from 1 species